GACGAACGCUGGCGGCGUGCUUAAUACAUGCAAGUCGAGCGAGGUUACUGGAGUGGAGCCCUUCGGGGUGAAGCUGCUUUAACCUAGCGGCGGACGGGUGAGUAACGCGUGGGUAACCUACCCCAAAGCCCGGGAUAACGGCGGGAAACCGCUGCUAAUACCGGAUGACUUUACCUUGGGGCAUCUUGAGGUAAAGAAAGGUUAACGCUUUGGGAUGGGCCCGCGUCCCAUUAGCUAGUUGGUGAGGUAACGGCUCACCAAGGCGACGAUGGGUAGCCGGCCUGAGAGGGUGGACGGCCACACUGGGACUGAGACACGGCCCAGACUCCUACGGGAGGCAGCAGUAGGGAAUAUUGCGCAAUGGACGGAAGUCUGACGCAGCGACGCCGCGUGAGCGAUGAAGGCCUUCGGGUCGUAAAGCUCUGUCCUUGGGGAAGAAGGCGAAAGCUUGACGGUACCCAAGAAGAAAGCCCGGCUAACUACGUG
rnacentral:rRNA from 1 species